rnacentral:rRNA from 1 species
UAUUGGUCAAUGGACGCAAGUCUGAACCAGCCAUACCGCGUGCAGGAAGACGGCUCUAUGAGUUGUAAAAUGCUGUUGUACGAGGGUAAACGCAGAUACGAGUAUCUGUCUGAAAGUAUCGUACGAAUAAGGAUCGGCUACCUCCGUGCCCGCAGCCGCGGUAAUACGGAGGAUUCAAGCGUUAUCCGGAAUUAUUGGGUUUAAAGGGUGCGUAGGCGGUUUGAUAAGUUGGAGGUGAAAUGUUAGGGCUUAACCCUGAAACUGCCUCCAAUACUGUUGGACUAGAGAGUAGUUGCGGUAUGCGGAAUGUAUGGUGUAGCGGUGAAAUGCUUAGAGAUCAUACAGAACACCGAUUGCGAAGGCAGCUUACCAAACUAUAUCUGACGUUGAGGCACGGAAGCGUGGGGAGCAAACAGG